rnacentral:rRNA from 1 species
AUUGAACGCUGGCGGAAUGCUUUACACAUGCAAGUCGAACGGCAGCACGGGGGCAACCCUGGUGGCGAGUGGCGAACGGGUGAGUAAUACAUCGGAACGUGCCCAGUCGUGGGGGAUAACUACGCGAAAGCGUAGCUAAUACCGCAUACGAACUGAGGUUGAAAGCGGGGGACCUUCGGGCCUCGCGCGAUUGGAGCGGCCGAUGGCAGAUUAGGUAGUUGGUGGGGUAAAGGCCUACCAAGCCGACGAUCUGUAGCUGGUCUGAGAGGACGACCAGCCACACUGGGACUGAGACACGGCCCAGACUCCUACGGGAGGCAGCAGUGGGGAAUUUUGGACAAUGGGCGCAAGCCUGAUCCAGCCAUUCCGCGUGCAGGAUGAAGGCCCUCGGGUUGUAAACUGCUUUUGUACGGAACGAAAAGGUGCUGGUUAAUACCUGGCGCUACUGACGGUACCGUAAGAAUAAGCACCGGCUAACUACGUGCCAGCCGCCGCCGUAACAC